rnacentral:misc_RNA from 1 species
CCGAGUCUCGAACUCACAACCCACUGUGAACAUACCUUAACGUUGCUUCGGCGGGGGGCUCAGGCCCGCCGCCGGGGACCCCAAACCUCUUGUUUUCCAUGUGUUUACUCUGAGUAACCUGAAAAUAAAUCA